CCGCGUUCGGAGCCGCCGCCUCCGCCGCUGUCGUUGCGCUCUGCGUGCUCAGAGGGGGGAACCGUGCGCAGAGUGCCACGGCUGCCCACGUGUUGCUGAGUGCUGCUUCCCUGGCGGUGCCAUCGGGACCCAACUGGCGCUACGAAGAAGGCAUCAGCGGAGUCUUCCUCAGCGGCGACGUUCAGGCGACACCCGAAGGACUGCGGGUGGCAUCCGGGGGUCUCUACCUCCUCUAUGGCCAAUUUGCCGUCACCUGCACGGCCACCUCCUGUCCCCCCGGCAAUGUCACCCUCCAACUGCACCGCGCCGGCUCUUCUCAUCCCCUGUUGGCCGUACCGUUGGCGUUACCCGACGGCAGCGGAUCCGGCCCCACUCGCUCCGGUUUGGCUCAAGCAGUGGGGCAGCUGAGGCCGGGGGACGUCCUCAGCUUUAGGAUGGUUGGGGACGUCCAAGGGGACGAGUGGCAGAUGGCGCAGGACGAGAGGGAGGGGAACUUCGUGGGGCUGCUGCGCAUCGCCGGCGGGGGGUGACGCGUGGGGGGGGUCCCCCGAAGUCGUGGAGGUGGAGUGCAAAACGGGGCGGGGGGGGGACCAGAAGGGAUUGGGGUGGGCGCCCCCCUGGUUGGGGGUUUGGAGAGGUACCCCCCCCCGGUGGAGGUUUGGAGACGACCCCCCCUGGUUGGGGGUUUGGAGACGUCCCCACCCCCCCGGUUGGAGGUUUGGAGUCGUCGUCGUCCCCCCCCCCCCCUGGUUGGAGGUUUGGAGACGUCUCCCCCCUGGUUGGGGGUUUGGAGACAUCCCCCCCCUCCCCAUGGUUGGGGGUUUGGAGACGUCCCCCCCCCUGGUUGGGGGUUUGGAGACAUCCCCCCCCUCCCCAUGGUUGGAGGUUUGGAGAUGUAUCCCCCCCCGGUGGAAGUUUGGAGACGACCCCCCCUGGUUGGGGGUUUGGAGACGUCCCCACCCCCCCGGUUGGAGGUUUGGAGAUGUCCCCCCCCUCCCCAUGGUUGGGGGUUUGGAGAUGUACCCCCACCUGGUUGGGGGUUUGGAGACGUCCCCCCCCCCCUGGUUGGAGGUUUGGAGACGUCCCCCCCCCCCAUGGUUGGGGGUUUGGAGAUGUACCCCCCCCUGGUUGGAGGUUUGGAGACGUCAAGGGAUGCUGCUGACCUCAAUGGCUGGAGAUAUAUGGAUCCAAAGCGCAAAGAUUUGGGGACAUUGGGGGGCGCUGCUGCCCUUUAUGCGCGGAGAUCCGGGUCCCAACACCCCCCAUGUCCCAAGAUUUGGGGACGUCCGGGGACGUCGCUGACCUCCGUGUUUGGAGAUGGGGGUCCCGAGACCCCCAACGUGUGGAGAUGUGGGGGACGUCGUUGACCUCCGCGUCCAUUUGGGGACAUCAGGGGACGUCGUUGACCUCCAUGCCUGGAAAUCGGAAUCCCGCAAUCCCAAUGCCCAAAGAUUUGGGAUCGGGGGACGCUGUUGACCUCUAUGGCCGAAGACCUGAAGGUGUGGGGACAUCGGUGACCUCUACGCCCAGAGAUUUGGGGACGUCGAGGGGGACAUUGCAGCCCCCCCCCCCCCCCCCCCCCCCCCCCCCCACGCUCACGAUUUGGUGCUGGAGCCCCCCCAUGGCUCAGAGAUUUGGGGACACUGAGGAACCUCGCAGACCGCCCCUGUGUUGGAUAUUGGGGACAUCACAGGUUCCCAUUUUGGGGACGUCGGGGACAUCACGGAACCCCCCCCCCCCCCUCCCCAGUCAAAGACUAUGGAACCCCCCCCCAUGCUUGGAGGCAUUGGGGGGGUCCCCGCUGACCCCUCCCCCCAGCUGGUCUGGGGGGGUCCCCCCUCCCCCCUAAGUUAUUGUCUGGUGCUCAGAGCCACUUUAUUUAUUAAUCAGUACAUUUAUUUAUGGUUCUCCGUUCUCCGAAGUGGGCUGAUUUCCCCCCUUCCCCCCCCCCCAAAAAAGGGGGAAUUCCUUGGGGGGGGUCUCCGUGCUCCCUUCGCUGUGAGGACAGCAUGGGGACAAUGUGGGGACAACAUGGGGACAGCAUGGGGACAGCUUGGUGACAACGUGGGGACAGUGUGGGGACAACGUGGGGACAACAUGGGGACAAUGUGGGGACAACGUGGGGACAGCGAGGGGACAACUGUUGGGCAACCUGGGGACAGCAUGGGGAUAAUUUGGGGACAGUUCGGGGCCAAUUUGGGGGACAGCAUGAGGACAAUUUGGGGACAACAUGUAGGCAGCUUGGGGACAAUGUGGGGACAGCGUGGGGACAGCAUGGGGAUAAGUUGGGGACAGUGUGGGGACAACAUGUGGGCAGCCUGGGGACAGCUUGGGGACAAGUUGGGGACAGCGUGGGGACAAUGUGGGGACAACAUGGGGAUAGCAUGGGGACAGCAUGGGGACAAGUUGGGGACAGCUUGGGGACAAUGUAGGGACAACAUGUGAGCAGCCUGGGGACAGCAUGGGGAUAAUGUGGGGACAACAUGGGGACAAUGUGGGGACAACAUGUAGGCAGCUUGGGGACAGCUUGGGGACACUGUGGGGACAGCAUGGGGACAACAUGGGGACAGCUUGGGGACAACAUGGGGACAAUUUGGGGACAACUUGGGGACAAUAUGGGGACAGCGUAGGGACAACAUGGGGAUAGCAUGGAGACAGCAUGGGGACAAGUUGGGGACAGCAUGGGGAUAAUUUGGGGACAGCGUGGGGACAAUGUGGGGACAGCGUAGGGACAACAUGGGGACAGCAUGGGGACAACAUGGGGACAAGUUGGGGACAGCAUGUGGGCAGCUUGGGGACAGCGUGGGGACAAUGUGGGGACAACUGUUGGGCCACCUGGGGGCAGCACGGGGCCAAUUUGGGGACAGUUCGGGGCCAAUUUGGGGACAGCAUGGGGACAAUGUGGGGACAGCUGGCGGGCCAUAGGGGCGCAGCGCGCAGCCGGCGCUCGGGUGGCGGCCCGGCAGCACACGCGCGUGC
ensembl:lncRNA